GACUUUGUAGCUCAGCUGGUAGAGCAAUUGACUCUUAAUCAAUGGGUCGAGGGUUCGAACCCCUCCGAGGUCA
rnacentral:tRNA from 3 species